rnacentral:rRNA from 1 species
GAUGAACGCUGGCGGCGUGCCUAAUACAUGCAAGUCGAGCGAACAGACGAGGAGCUUGCUCCUCUGACGUUAGCGGCGGACGGGUGAGUAACACGUGGAUAACCUACCUAUAAGACUGGGAUAACUUCGGGAAACCGGAGCUAAUACCGGAUAAUAUAUUGAACCGCAUGGUUCAAUAGUGAAAGACGGUUUUGCUGUCACUUAUAGAUGGAUCCGCGCCGCAUUAGCUAGUUGGUAAGGUAACGGCUUACCAAGGCAACGAUGCGUAGCCGACCUGAGAGGGUGACCGGCCACACUGGAACUGAAACACGGUCCAGACUACUAAGGGAGGCAGCAGUAGGGAAUCUUCCGCAAUGGGCGAAAGCCUGACGGAGCAACGCCGCGUGAGUGAUGAAGGUCUUCGGAUCGUAAAACUCUGUUAUUAGGGAAGAACAAAUGUGUAAGUAACUAUGCACGUCUUGACGGUACCUAAUCAGAAAGCCACGGCUAACUACGUG